UACGUAGGGUGCAAGCGUUAAUCGGAAUUACUGGGCGUAAAGCGUGCGCAGGCGGUGAUGUAAGACAGAUGUGAAAUCCCCGGGCUUAACCUGGGAACUGCAUUUGUGACUGGCAAGCUAGAGUAUGGCAGAGGGGGUAGAAUUCCACGUGUAGCAGUGAAAUGCGUAGAGAUGUGGAGGAAUACCGAUGGCGAAGGCAGCCCCCUGGGCCAAUACUGACGCUCAUGCACGAAAGGCGUGG
rnacentral:rRNA from 1 species